rnacentral:rRNA from 1 species
GAGUUUGAUCAUGGCUCAGAACGAACGCUGGCGGCAGGCCUAACACAUGCAAGUCGAACGAACUGAGACCUUCGGGUCUCUAUGUUAGUGGCGCACGGGUGAGUAACGCGUGGGAACGUACCCUUUAGUACGGAAUAACGCAGGGAAACUUGCGCUAAUACCGUAUACGCCCUUCGGGGAAAGAUUAUCGCUAAAGGAUCGGCCCGCGUCUGAUUAGGUAGUUGGUGAGGUAACGGCUCACCAAGCCGACGAUCAGUAGCUGGUCUGAGAGGAUGAUCAGCCACACUGGGACUGAGACACGGCCCAGACUCCUACGGGAGGCAGCAGUGGGGAAUAUUGGACAAUGGGCGAAAGCCUGAUCCAGCCAUGCCGCGUGAGUGAAGAAGGCCUUCGGGUUGUAAAG